AAGUGCGCAGGCAUAGAGCUGCGCUUUUGUUCACCGUAGGGAGGUGAACGAAUAAGGGCUGGGCAAGACCGGUGCCAGCCGCCGCGGUAAUACCGGCAGCCCGAGUGAUGGCCGAUUUUAUUGGGCCUAAAGCGUCCGUAGCUGGCUGCGCAAGUCCAUCGGAAAAUCCACCCGCUCAACGGGUGGGCGUCCGGUGGAAACUGCGUGGCUUGGGACCGGAAGGCGCGACGGGUACGUCCGGGGUAGGAGUGAAAUCCCGUAAUCCUGGACGGACCGCCGAUGGCGAAAGCACGUCGCGAGGACGGAUCCGACAGUGAGGGACGAAAGCCAGGGUCUCGAACCGGAUUAGAUACCCGGGUAGUCCUGGCCGUAAACAAUGUCUGUUAGGUGUGGCUCCCGCUACGAGCGGGUGCUGUGCCGUAGGGAAGCCGCUAAACAGACCGCCUGGGAAGUACGUCCGCAAGGAUGAAACUUAAAGGAAUUGGCGGGGGAGCACUACAACCGGAGGAGCCUGCGGUUUAAUUGGACUCAACGCCGGACAUCUCACCAGCAUCGACUGUAAUAAUGACGAUCAGGUUGAUG
rnacentral:rRNA from 1 species